CGGCGUGCUUACACAUGCAAGUCGAACGAUGAAGCUGGAGCUUGCUCCGGUGGAUUAGUGGCGAACGGGUGAGUAACACGUGAGAAAUCUGCCCCUGACUCUGGGAUAACUGCGGGAAACUGUAGCUAAUACCGGAUACUUUCCCUGGUGGGCAUCCACUGGGGAAGAAAGAAUUUCGGUCAGGGAGGAUCUCGCGGCCUAUCAGCUAGUUGGUGAGGUAACGGCUCACCAAGGCGACGACGGGUAACCGGCCUGAGAGGGUGACCGGUCACACUGGGACUGAGACACGGCCCAGACUCCUACGGGAGGCAGCAGUGGGGAAUAUUGCACAAUGGGCGCAAGCCUGAUGCAGCAACGCCGCGUGAGGGAUGAAGGCCUUCGGGUUGUAAACCUCUUUUAGCAGGGAAGAAGCGAAAGUGACGGUACCUGCAGAAAAAGCACCGGCUAACUACGUGCCAGCAGCCGCGGUAAUACGUAGGGUGCAAGCGUUGUCCGGAAUUAUUGGGCGUAAAGAGCUCGUAGGCGGUUUGUCACGUCUGCUGUGAAAAUCCAAGGCUCAACCUUGGACUUGCAGUGGGUACGGGCAGGCUAGAGUGCGGUAGGGGAGAUGGGAAUUCCUGGUGUAGCGGUGGAAUGCGCANAUAUCAGGAGGAACACCAAUGGCGAAGGCACAUCUCUGGGCCGUAACUGACGCUGAGGAGCGAAAGCGUGGGGAGCGAACAGGAUUAGAUACCCUGGUAGUCCACGCCGUAAACGGUGGGUGCUAGCUGUGGGCCACAUUCACGUGGUCCGUGACGAAGUUAACACAUUAAGCACCCCGCCUGGGGAGUACGGCCGCAAGGCUAAAACUCAAAGGAAUUGACGGGGGCCCGCA
rnacentral:rRNA from 1 species